AGUGAACGCUGGCGGUAGGCCUAACACAUGCAAGUCGAACGGAAGCACAGUAAGAGCUUGCUCUUACGGGUGGCGAGUGGCGGACGGGUGAGGAAUACAUCGGAAUCUACUUUUUCGUGGGGGAUAACGUAGGGAAACUUACGCUAAUACCGCAUACGACCUACGGGUGAAAGCAGUGGAUCUUCGGACCUUGCGCGAUUGAAUGAGCCGAUGUCGGAUUAGCUAGUUGGCGGGGUAAAGGCCCACCAAGGCGACGAUCCGUAGCUGGUCUGAGAGGAUGAUCAGCCACACUGGAACUGAGACACGGUCCAGACUCCUACGGGAGGCAGCAGUGGGGAAUAUUGGACAAUGGGCGCAAGCCUGAUCCAGCCAUACCGCGUGGGUGAAGAAGGCCUUCGGGUUGUAAAGCCCUUUUGUUGGGAAAGAAAAGCAGCAGGUUAAUACCCCGCUGUUCUGACGGUACCCAAAGAAUAAGCACCGGCUAACUUCGUG
rnacentral:rRNA from 1 species